GACGAACGCUGGCGGCGUGCCUAAUACAUGCAAGUAGAACGCUGAAGGAGGAGCUUGCUUCUCUGGAUGAGUUGCGAACGGGUGAGUAACGCGUAGGUAACCUGCCUGGUAGCGGGGGAUAACUAUUGGAAACGAUAGCUAAUACCGCAUAAGAGUGGAUGUUGCAUGACAUUUGCUUAAAAGGUGCACUUGCAUCACUACCAGAUGGACCUGCGUUGUAUUAGCUAGUUGGUGGGGUAAGGGCUCACCAAGGCGACGAUACAUAGCCGACCUGAGAGGGUGAUCGGCCACACUGGGACUGAGACACGGCCCAGACUCCUACGGGAGGCAGCAGUAGGGAAUCUUCGGCAAUGGACGGAAGUCUGACCGAGCAACGCCGCGUGAGUGAAGAAGGUUUUCGGAUCGUAAAGCUCUGUUGUAAGAGAAGAACGAGUGUGAGAGUGGAAAGUUCACACUGUGACGGUAUCUUACCAGAAAGGGACGGCUAACUACGUGCCAGCAGCCGCGGUAAUACGUAGGUCCCGAGCGUUGUCCGGAUUUAUUGGGCGUAAAGCGAGCGCAGGCGGUUAGAUAAGUCUGAAGUUAAAGGCUGUGGCUUAACCAUAGUAGGCUUUGGAAACUGUUUAACUUGAGUGCAAGAGGGGAGAGUGGAAUUCCAUGUGUAGCGGCGAAAUGCGUAGAUAUAUGGAGGAACACCGGUGGCGAAAGCGGCUCUCUGGCUUGUAACUGACGCUGAGGCUCGAAAGCGUGGGGAGCAAACAGGAUUAGAUACCCUGGUAGUCCACGCUGUAAACGAUGAGUGCUAGGUGUUAGACCCUUUCCGGGGUUUAGUGCCGUAGCUAACGCAUUAAGCACUCCGCCUGGGGAGUACGACCGCAAGGUUGAAACUCAAAGGAAUUGACGGGGGCCCGCACAAGCGGUGGAGCAUGUGGUUCAAUUCGAAGCAACGCGAAGAACCUUACCAGGUCUUGACAUCCCUCUGACCGCUCUAGAGAUAGAGCUUUCCUUCGGGACAGAGGUGACAGGUGGUGCAUGGUUGUCGUCAGCUCGUGUCGUGAGAUGUUGGGUCAAGUCCCGCAACGAGCGCAACCCCUAUUGUUAGUUGCCAUCAUUUAGUUGGGCACUCUAGCGAGACUGCCGGUAAUAAGCCGGAGGAAGGUGGGGAUGACGUCAAAUCAUCAUGCCCCUUAUGACCUGGGCUACACACGUGCUACAAUGGCUGGUACAACGAGUCGCAAGCCGGUGACGGCAAGCUAAUCUCUUAAAGCCAGUCUCAGUUCGGAUUGUAGGCUGCAGCUCGCCUACAUGAAGUCGGAAUCGCUAGUAAUCGCGGAUCAGCACGCCGCGGUGAAUACGUUCCCGGGCCU
rnacentral:rRNA from 1 species